UGGAUGAUGUGGAUUAAUUCGAUGCAACGCGAAAACCUUACCUACCCUUGACAUGCCAGGAACUUGCCAGAGAUGGCUUGGUGCCCGAAAGGGAGCCUGGACACAGGUGCUGCAUGGCUGUCGUCAGCUCGUGUCGUGAGAUGUUGGGUUAAGUCCCGCAACGAGCGCAACCCUUGUCAUUAGUUGCCAUCAUUCAGUUGGGCACUCUAAUGAGACUGCCGGUGACAAACCGGAGGAAGGUGGGGAUGACGUCAAGUCCUCAUGGCCCUUAUGUCCAGGGCUACACACGUGCUACAAUGGUUGGUACAACGAGUUGCGAGUCGGUGACGGCGAGCUAAUCUCUUAAAGCCAAUCUCAGUUCGGAUUGUAGGCUGCAGCUCGCCUACAUGAAGUCGGAACCGCUAGUAAUCGCGGAUCGGCACGCCGCGGUGAAUACGUUCCCGGGCCUU
rnacentral:rRNA from 1 species